UACAGAGGCCUCGAGCGUUAGGCGGGAUCACUGGGCUUAAAGCGUGUGUAGGCGGAUCGUUAAGUACCUUGUGAAAUCCCACGGCUCAACCGUGGAACUGCUCGGUAUACUGCUUAUCUUGAGCCACUUAGGGGCUACCGGAACAAAUGGUGGAGCGGUGAAAUGCGUAGAUAUCAUUUGGAACGCCAAUGGUGAAAACAGGUAGCUGGGAGUGUGCUGACGCUGAGACACGAAAGCCAGGGGAGCGAACGGG
rnacentral:rRNA from 1 species